rnacentral:lncRNA from 1 species
UGAACAAAGGAGUCCAACAGUAAGGGAGACAUUUUCAGCUGUGAGGCCAACUAGGGCUGUGUGGAGAGGACUUGCCCCCUGAACCUGAGAUCACAGUGACCUUGGUCUCCAAGGUCCUGUGAGAAGCACGGCUGGCCCAAGUCAGAGCCACUCAACAGCAUCUUAUUCAUCCAGAGUCACUGAGGUUCCCAUCAAUUACAUUUUCUGAAAAUGAAACUUGAAUUGCCAAAACACUAUUUUAACCUUUGAAAAUAAAUCUUCCUAAAAGGUGGCCCAUAGUCCCUAAUGACUUAAAACCUCUCCUUUUCCCACUGAAGUGGUCAUCAUUAUCCCUAUGGAAUGGGACAAUAAUGUGAUUGUGUUUCCAUGUGCUGUUUAAUUACAACCUUCCUUACAGCCUUCACUUUCCUGUUAUCUACAAGUCUCUCUCUAAAAACCACCUUCCACCAGCCACCCUUCCAGGCUGUUUGUUUUGCAGAGCGUUGGGAAAUCAGACAGCACUCCUGUUAGGACAGUGUGCUCCACAGAUGUCAGCGAAGCUUGAGGCCCACAGAGAAAUAAGGCACUUGGUUCAGACGCAGGGAUUUUGAUUAAGCUAUUUCUGAGGGUCUUCUUUCCAAUACCUUCCAGUUCACGGCUAAAAUCCAAAGGCAGAUGGGGCCAAGACUCACUUGCACGUGGAAUGCUCCUUGAAUCUAUUUCUCAUGGUCCUCUGACUGGCCUAGAGGUCCACCAUUAAAAG